rnacentral:rRNA from 1 species
GACGAACGCUGGCGGCGUGCCUAAUACAUGCAAGUAGAACGCUGAAGAGAGGAGCUUGCUCUUCUUGGAUGAGUUGCGAACGGGUGAGUAACGCGUAGGUAACCUGCCUUGUAGCGGGGGAUAACUAUUGGAAACGAUAGCUAAUACCGCAUAACAAUGGAUGACACAUGUCAUUUAUUUGAAAGGGGCAAUUGCUCCACUACAAGAUGGACCUGCGUUGUAUUAGUUAGUAGGCGAGGUAACGGCUCACCUAGGCGACGAUACAUAGCCGACCUGAGAGGGUGAUCGGCCACACUGGGACUGAGACACGGCCCAGACUCCUACGGGAGGCAGCAGUAGGGAAUCUUCGGCAAUGGGGGCAACCCUGACCGAGCAACGCCGCGUGAGUGAAGAAGGUUUUCGGAUCGUAAAGCUCUGUUGUAAGUCAAGAACGAGUGUGAGAGUGGAAAGUUCACACUGUGACGGUAGCUUACCAGAAAGGGACGGCUAACUACGUGCCAGCAGCCGCGGUAAUACGUAGGUCCCGAGCGUUGUCCGGAUUUAUUGGGCGUAAAGCGAGCGCAGGCGGUUUGAUAAGUCUGAAGUUAAAGGCUGUGGCUCAACCAUAGUUCGCUUUGGAAACUGUCAAACUUGAGUGCAGAAGGGGAGAGUGGAAUUCCAUGUGUAGCGGUGAAAUGCGUAGAUAUAUGGAGGAACACCGGUGGCGAAAGCGGCUCUCUGGUCUGUAACUGACGCUGAGGCUCGAAAGCGUGGGGAGCGAACAGG